rnacentral:rRNA from 1 species
GGGUUGUGAGGUUAAGCGACUAAGCGUACACGGUGGAUGCCUAGGCAGUCAGAGGCGAUGAAGGACGUGCUAAUCUGCGAAAAGCGCCGGUGAGCUGAUAUGAAGCGCUGUCAGCCGGCGAUGUCCGAAUGGGGA